CUCUUUAUGGGGGGUGACUGCGUACCUUUUGUAUAAUGGGUCAGCGACUUAUAUUCUGUAGCAAGGUUAACCGCAUAGGGGAGCCGAAGGGAAACCGAGUCUUAAUUGGGCGUUAAGUUGCAGGGUAUAGACCCGAAACCCGGUGAUCUAGCCAUGGGCAGGUUGAAGGUUGGGUAACACUAACUGGAGGACCGAACCGACUAAUGUUGAAAAAUUAGCGGAUGACCUGUGGCUGGGGGUGAAAGGCCAAUCAAACCGGGAGAUAGCUGGUUCUCCCCGAAAGCUAUUUAGGUAGCGCCUCGUGAACUCAUCUCCGGGGGUAGAGCACUGUUUCGGCUAGGGGGCCAUCCCGGCUUACCAACCCGAUGCAAACUGCGAAUACCGGAGAAUGUUAUCACGGGAGACACACGGCGGGUGCUAACGUCCGUCGUGAAGAGGGAAACAACCCAGACCGCCAGCUAAGGUCCCAAAGUCAUGGUUAAGUGGGAAACGAUGUGGGAAGGCCCAGACAGCCAGGAUGUUGGCUUAGAAGCAGCCAUCAUUUAAAGAAAGCGUAAUAGCUCACUGGUCGAGUCGGCCUGCGCGGAAGAUGUAACGGGGCUAAACCAUGCACCGAAGCUGCGGCAGCGACACUUUAGUGUUGUUGGGUAGGGGAGCGUUCUGUAAGCCGUCGAAGGUGUCCUGUGAGGGGGGCUGGAGGUAUCAGAAGUGCGAAUGCUGACAUAAGUAACGAUAAAGCGGGUGAAAAGCCCGCUCGCCGGAAGACCAAGGGUUCCUGUCCAACGUUAAUCGGGGCAGGGUGAGUCGACCCCUAAGGCGAGGCCGAAAGGCGUAGUCGAUGGGAAACGGGUUAAUAUUCCCGUACUUGGUGUUACUGCGAAGGGGGGACGGAGAAGGCUAUGUUGGCCGGGCGACGGUAGUCCCGGUUUAAGCGUGUAGGCUGGUUUUCCAGGCAAAUCCGGAAAAUCAAGGCUGAGGCGUGAUGACGAGGCACCACGGUGCUGAAGCAACAAAUGCCCUGCUUCCAGGAAAAGCCUCUAAGCAUCAGGUAACAUCAAAUCGUACCCCAAACCGACACAGGUGGUCAGGUAGAGAAUACCAAGGCGCUUGAGAGAACUCGGGUGAAGGAACUAGGCAAAAUGGUGCCGUAACUUCGGGAGAAGGCACGCUGACACGUAGGUGAAGUGAUUUACUCAUGGAGCUGAAGUCAGUCGAAGAUACCAGCUGGCUGCAACUGUUUAUUAAAAACACAGCACUGUGCAAACACGAAAGUGGACGUAUACGGUGUGACGCCUGCCCGGUGCCGGAAGGUUAAUUGAUGGGGUCAGCGCAAGCGAAGCUCCUGAUCGAAGCCCCGGUAAACGGCGGCCGUAACUAUAACGGUCCUAAGGUAGCGAAAUUCCUUGUCGGGUAAGUUCCGACCUGCACGAAUGGCGUAAUGAUGGCCAGGCUGUCUCCACCCGAGACUCAGUGAAAUUGAACUCGCUGUGAAGAUGCAGUGUACCCGCGGCAAGACGGAAAGACCCCGUGAACCUUUACUAUAGCUUGACACUGAACAUUGAGCCUUGAUGUGUAGGAUAGGUGGGAGGCUUUGAAGCGUGGACGCCAGUCUGCGUGGAGCCGACCUUGAAAUACCACCCUUUAAUGUUUGAUGUUCUAACGUGGACCCGUAAUCCGGGUUGCGGACAGUGUCUGGUGGGUAGUUUGACUGGGGCGGUCUCCUCCUAAAGAGUAACGGAGGAGCACGAAGGUUGGCUAAUCCUGGUCGGACAUCAGGAGGUUAGUGCAAUGGCAUAAGCCAGCUUGACUGCGAGCGUGACGGCGCGAGCAGGUGCGAAAGCAGGUCAUAGUGAUCCGGUGGUUCUGAAUGGAAGGGCCAUCGCUCAACGGAUAAAAGGUACUCCGGGGAUAACAGGCUGAUACCGCCCAAGAGUUCAUAUCGACGGCGGUGUUUGGCACCUCGAUGUCGGCUCAUCACAUCCUGGGGCUGAAGUAGGUCCCAAGGGUAUGGCUGUUCGCCAUUUAAAGUGGUACGCGAGCUGGGUUUAGAACGUCGUGAGACAGUUCGGUCC
rnacentral:rRNA from 1 species